UCGCCUGUUUAACAAAAACAUGUCUUUUUGAAAUUUUUUUAAAGUCUAGCCUGCCCACUGAAAUUUUUUAAAUGGCCGCAGUAUACUAACUGUGCAAAGGUAGCAUAAUCAUUAGUCUUUUAAUUGAAGGCUGGUAUGAAUGGUUGGACGAGAUAUUAACUGUUUCAUAAUAAUUUAUAAUAGAAUUUUAUUUUUUAGUCAAAAAGCUAAAAUAUAUUUAAAAGACGAGAAGACCCUAUAAAUCUUUAUAUUUAGAUUAUUAUAAUUUUAUAGAUUUUUUUUAUUAUAAUAAUCAAUGAUAUUUUAUUGGGGUGAUAUUAAAAUUUAAUAAACUUUUAAUUGUUAAAAUCAUUAAUUUAUGAAUAAUUGAUCCGUUAUUAGCGAUUAAAAAAAUAAGUUACUUUAGGGAUAACAGCGUAAUUUUUUUGGAGAGUUCAUAUCGAUAAAAAAGAUUGCGACCUCGAUGUUGGAUUAAGAUAUAAUUUUAGGUGUAGCCGCUUAAAUUUUAAGUCUGUUCGACUUUUAAAUUCUUACGUGAUCUGAGUUCAGACCGGA
rnacentral:rRNA from 1 species